rnacentral:rRNA from 1 species
CAGCCGCCGCGGUAAUACGAAGGGUGCAAGCGUUAAUCGGAAUUACUGGGCGUAAAGCGUGCGUAGGCGGUGAGUUAAGUCUGCUGUGAAAUCCCCGGGCUCAACCUGGGAAUGGCAGUGGAUACUGGCUCGCUAGAGUGUGUCAGAGGAUGGUGGAAUUCCCGGUGUAGCGGUGAAAUGCGUAGGGAUCGGGAGGAACAUCAGUGGCGAAGGCGGCCAUCUGGGACAACACUGACGCUGAGGCACGAAAGCGUGGGGAGCAAACAGGAUUAGAUACCCCAGUAGUCCCUGUCUCUUAUAA